GAUCCUGGCUCAGGAUGAACGCUGGCGGCGUGCUUAACACAUGCAAGUCGAACGAAACACCUUAUUUGAUUUUCUUCGGAACUGAAGAUUUGGUGAUUGAGUGGCGGACGGGUGAGUAACGCGUGGGUAACCUGCCCUGUACAGGGGGAUAACAGUUAGAAAUGACUGCUAAUACCGCAUAAGACCACGGAGUCGCAUGACUCAGUGGGAAAAACUCCGGUGGUAUGAGAUGGACCCGCGUCUGAUUAGG
rnacentral:rRNA from 1 species